CUUUUCUUGAUUUAAAUAUGAAAUAUGACCUGCCCACUGAUGUUAAUUGAAGGGCCGCGGUAAUUUGACCGUGCAAAGGUAGCAUAAUCAUUAGUUUCUUAAUUAGAAGCUGGAAUGAAUGGUUGGACGAGAUACAUACUGUCUUGUAUUUAAAAAUGGAAUUUAAUUAUUAAGUAAUAAAGCUUAAAUUUUUUUAUGGGACGAGAAGACCCUAUAGAGUUUAAUAUUAAAAUUGAACAGCUUAGUUUGUUAUAUUUAUUGUUUUAUAAAGUAUUUUGUUGGGGUGACUGGAAGAUAAAUAAAACUCUUCUUAUUGUUUAAUAUUAAUUUAUAGUUAUGUGAUCCAUUAUUAAUGAUUAUAAGUUUAAAUUACCUUAGGGAUAACAGCGUAAUCUUUUUUGAGAGUUCAUAUCGACAAAAGGGGUUGCGACCUCGAUGUUGGAUUAAGAUAAAUAUUAGGUGUAGAAGUUUAAUAUAUUAGGUCUGUUCGACCUUUAAAAUCUUACA
rnacentral:rRNA from 1 species